ACGAAUGAAAGAGAAUCCGAUCUCUUCGGAGUGAAGAAUCUCUGGAUUAGUGGCGGACGGGUGAGUAACGCGUGAGCAAUCUGCCUUACACAAAGGGAUAGCCUCGGGAAACCGGGAUUAAUACCAUAUGAUAUCUAUUCACCGCAUGGUUUAUAGAUUAAAGAAUUUCGGUGUAAGAUGAGCUCGCGUCCCAUUAAUUAGUUGGUGAGGGUAACGGCCCACCAAGAUAGCGAUGGGUAGCCGAUCUAAGAGGAUGACCGGCCACAUUGGAACUGAGAAACGGUCCAAACUCCUACGGGAGGCAGCAGUGGGGAAUAUUGCACAAUGGGGGGAACCCUGAUGCAGCGACGCCGCGUGAGCGAUGAAGGCUUUCGAGUCGUAAAGCUCUGUCCUAUGGGAAGAUAAUGACGGUACCAUAGAAGAAAGCCCCGGCUAAUUACGUGCCAGCAGCCGCGGUAAUACGUAAGGGGCGAGCGUUGUCCGGAAUUAUUGGGCGUAAAGAGUGCGUAGGCGGCAAAUUAAGUCAGAUGUGAAAACUAAGGGCUCAACCCAUAGAUUGCAUCUGAAACUGAUAUGCUUGAGUCAAGGAGAGGAAAGUGGAAUUCCUAGUGUAGCGGUGGAAUGCGUAGAUAUUAGGAGGAAUACCGGUGGCGAAAGGCGACUUUCUGGACUUGAACUGACGCUGA
rnacentral:rRNA from 1 species